AACACCUCAAAGCCUUCAAUUUGUUUUGAAUGGCUUUGGACUUGAGCAAUCCCAACACCAGUCUUUACGAUCGGUGGAGGGUUGCUUGAAAUGCAGGUGCAGCUGGACAUUCUCCUGAGCUAAAAGCAUAUUUAUUUAGUCCCGUCAAACGGAUUAUUACGUUUGCUGCAGCUAACAUAAAGGGAGUUUGAACGUAUUGGCUGACGGAUGCAGGAUUGCACAAGGGUCGGAAACGAUUCUUGUUAA
rnacentral:misc_RNA from 1 species